rnacentral:rRNA from 1 species
UUGGAGGGCAAGUCUGGUGCCAGCAGCCGCGGUAAUUCCAGCUCCAAUAGCGUAUAUUAAAGUUGUUGCAGUUAAAAAGCUCGUAGUUGAAUUUCGGGAUUAGUACGUCGGUCGUGCCUUCGGUACGUACUGGUGUUACUGAUUCCUACCUUCUGACGAACCAUCAUGUCAUUAAUUUGGUGUGGCGGGGAAUCAGGACUGUUACUUUGAAAAAAUUAGAGUGUUUAAAGCAGGCUCGCGCUUGAAUACAUUAGCAUGGAAUAAUGAAAUAGGACGUUGACCCUAUUUUGUUGGUUUCUAGGAUUGACGUAAUGAUUAAUAGGGAUAGUUGGGGGCAUUAGUAUUCAAUUGUCAGAGGUGAAAUUCUUGGAUUUAUUGAAGACUAACUACUGCGAAAGCAUUUGCCAAGGAUGUUUUCAUUAAUCAAGAACGAAAGUUAGGGGAUCGAAGACGAUCAGAUACCGUCGUAGUCUUAACCAUAAACUAUGCCGACUAGGGAUCGGAUGAUGUUAUUUUUAAUGACUCAUUCGGCGCCUUACGGGAAAC